AGAGUUUGAUUCUGGCUCAGGACGAACGCUGGCGGCGUGCUUAACACAUGCAAGUCGAGCGGUAAGGCCCUUUCGGGGGUACACGAGCGGCGAACGGGUGAGUAACACGUGGGUGACCUGCCCUCAGCUCUGGGAUAAGCCCGGGAAACUGGGUCUAAUACCGGAUAUGACUCCAUGACGCAUGUUGUGGGGUGGAAAGCCUUGUGCGGCUGAGGAUGGGCCCGCGGCCUAUCAGCUUGUUGGUGGGGUGAUGGCCUACCAAGGCGACGACGGGUAGCCGGCCUGAGAGGGCGACCGGCCACACUGGGACUGAGACACGGCCCAUACUCCUACGGGAGGCAGCAGUGGGGAAUCUUGCGCAUUGGGCGAAAGCCUGACGCAGCGACGCCGCGUGAGGGAUGACGGCCUUCGGGUUGUAAACCUCUUUCAGCUCCGACGAAGCGGAAGUGACGGUAGGAGCAGAAGAAGCACCGGCCAACUACGUGCCAGCAGCCGCGGUUUACGUAGGGUGCAAGCGUUGUCCGGAAUUAUUGGGCGUAAAGAGCUCGUAUGCGGUCUGUCCGUCGGCUGUGAAAACUCGGGGCUCAACUCCCAGCUUGCAGUNANACUGGCCGGCUCGAUUCGGCGGGGAGACUGGAAUUCCUGGUGUAGCGGUGAAAUGCGCAGAUAUCAGGAGGAACACCGGUGGGUAUGGCUGUUCUCUGGGCCGAUACUGACGCUGAGGAGCGUAAUGCGUGGGGAGCGAACAGGAUUUGAUUCCCUGGUUAUCUCCGCCGUAAACGUUGGGUCGCUAGGUGUGGGAUCCCUUCAUGGGUUCCGUGCCCAACUUACUCAUUUAUUCCCCCGCCUGGGGAGUACUGCCGCAGGUUAAAACUUAAAUGAUUGACGUGG
rnacentral:rRNA from 1 species